CAUUUUUUAUCUUAUAUCAUAAACUUUAUGUUUUUUUGGAUAAUGGAACUGCUUGCGUAUAAAGAAAUUAGGCUUUUUAAUUAAGGUUUAAGAGUAAGUUGGCUUGUCAGAUUUAUUGUCUCGAUGCUAUUAAUAUGUUUUCUUAAGACAAAUUGUUUAUAGUAUUUUGAUAAAAAAAGUCAAUUGGGUAACACCAAUUGAAUCCAUCUAGCAAUAUGUUACACAUGUUACGACAUAAAAUCCCGACUCAAAAAUUUACAUCACAGGCUUGCCAGUGAUAUUUUUCUAGUACGUCAAACAAAACAUUUAAAAUAUGUCUUUAGAUUUUAAAUCUUUAAGCAUAAACGGUGAAUACCUCGACUCCUAAAUCGAUGAAGACCGUAGCAAACUGCGAUAAUUCACUUGAAUUGCAGCCUACUGGGAUAGUUGAAAUGUUGAACGCACAUGAUGACAUCGGUCCUUUCGGAUUAGGUGUUAUACUUGGGUGAGAGUGGUCCUGAUAGAAUCCCUUUUGGGUGUGUCUAUUGAACUUGAUUAGAUGGUGGUAAAAAGUGCGCGAGUGCAUAGCAGCUUCGUCCUAAUAAACUAUGCGAGGACCGCCCGAAAUGAGCCAAAUGUUAAUCAAGGGAGAUAGAUAACGCCUGAUUGGACGGUAUGCCUAGGGUAUCUUUCCGUCUGUUGCCCCGCAAGGGGGGGGCUUACUGGGUGACUUAGGCUACUAUGUUGUAAUUCUCUCGAUUUGUCACUGUCAUUCGGCUAGCAUUUAGAGGUUAACGUAAUCAAUAUACAUUGGUCACAAAAAACUUUUUAAUGGUGGAAGGUAAAUUUAAUGUCACUAAUAAUCGGUCCGUCAAAUUGGUUAAGUUAGAGGGCAUUAAGCGUGCUGAAAGCUAUUAGAAAGGAUCAAUUGUGUUGAUUCGACCUAUCUCUAAUAUGUUAGUCGGGUAUGUCCGGCAGUUUAGCGGCAGGGGGAACGGUGUACGCGCUGGGUUUCUGGCCACCGUUGCAGUAGCAGGUAAGAUCUGCGUAAUACUAGUACUUGUCCGAAAGA
rnacentral:misc_RNA from 1 species